rnacentral:rRNA from 1 species
CUUGGUCAUUUAGAGGAAGUAAAAGUCGUAACAAGGUUUCCGUAGGUGAACCUGCGGAAGGAUCAUUAACGAGUUUUGAAACGAGUUGUAGCUGGCCUUCCGAGGCAUGUGCACGCUCUGCUCAUCCACUCUACCCCUGUGCACUUACUGUAGGUUGGCGUGGGCUCCUUAACGGGAGCAUUCUGCCGGCCUAUGUAUACUACAAACACUUUAAAGUAUCAGAAUGUAAACGCGUCUAACGCAUCUAUAAUACAACUUUUAGCAACGGAUCUCUUGGCUCUCGCAUCGAUGAAGAACGCAGCGAAAUGCGAUAAGUAAUGUGAAUUGCAGAAUUCAGUGAAUCAUCGAAUCUUUGAACGCACCUUGCGCUCCUUGGUAUUCCGAGGAGCAUGCCUGUUUGAGUGUCAUGGAAUUCUCAACUUAUAAAUCCUUGUGAUCUAUAAGCUUGGACUUGGAGGCUUGCUGGCCCUUGUUGGUCGGCUCCUCUUGAAUGCAUUAGCUCGAUUCCGUACGGAUCGGCUCUCAGUGUGAUAAUUGUCUACGCUGUGACCGUGAAGUGUUUUGGCGAGCUUCUAACCGUCCAUUAGGACAACUUUUUAACAUCUGACCUCAAAUCAGGUAGGACUACCCGCUGAACUUAAGCAUAUCAAUAAGCGGAGGAAAAGAAACUAACAAGGAUUCCCCUAGUAACUGCGAGUGAAGCGGGAAAAGCUCAAAUUUAAAAUCUGGCGGUCUUUGGCCGUCCGAGUUGUAGUCUGGAGAAGCGUCUUCCGCGCUGGACCGUGUACAAGUCUCCUGCUGACCUCAAAUCAGGUAGGACUACCCGCUGAACUUAAGCAUAUCAAUAAGCGGAGGAAAAGAAACUAACAAGGAUUCCCCUAUGUAACUGCGAGUGAAGCGGGAAAAGCUCAAAUUAAAAUCUGGCGGUUCUUUGGCCGUCCGAGUUGUAGUCUGGAGAAGCGUCUUCCGCGCUGGACCGUGUACAAGUCUCCUGAAAA